rnacentral:rRNA from 1 species
AACGAACGCUGGCGGCAGGCCUAACACAUGCAAGUCGAGCGAGGCCUUCGGGUCAAGCGGCGGACGGGUGAGUAACGCGUGGGAAUAUGCCCUUUGGUACGGAAUAGCCUCGGGAAACUGAGAGUAAUACCGUAUGUGCCCUUCGGGGGAAAGAUUUAUCGCCAAAGGAUUAGCCCGCGUUGGAUUAGGUAGUUGGUGGGGUAAUGGCCUACCAAGCCUACGAUCCAUAGCUGGUUUGAGAGGAUGAUCAGCCACACUGGGACUGAGACACGGCCCAGACUCCUACGGGAGGCAGCAGUGGGGAAUCUUAGACAAUGGGGGAAACCCUGAUCUAGCCAUGCCGCGUGAGUGAUGAAGGCCUUAGGGUUGUAAAGCUCUUUCAGCUGGGAAGAUAAUGACGGUACCAGCAGAAGAAGCCCCGGCUAACUCCGUGCCAGCAGCCGCGGUAA